rnacentral:rRNA from 1 species
GGAUGCGAUCAUACCAAAACGAAAGCACCAAAUCCUAUCAUAACUCCGCAGUUAAGCGUGCUUGGGCGAGAGUAGUACUCGGAUGGGUGACCCCCUGGGAAGUCCUUGUGUUGUUUAAA